ACACGAGGAAACUUGUGCUAAUACCGGAUAAGUCUUUACAGAGAAAGCUUUAUGCACCAUUGGAUGAGCCUGCACUUGAUUAGUUUGUUGGUGGGGUAAUGGCCUACCAAGACUGUGAUCAAUAGCUGAUUUGAGAGGAUGAUCAGCCACAUUGGGACUGAGACACGGCCCAAACUCCUACGGGAGGCAGCAGUGGGGAAUCUUGCACAAUGGAGGAAACUCUGAUGCAGCGAUGCCGCGUGAGUGAAGAAGGCCUUUGGGUUGUAAAGCUCUUUCGUCGGGGAAGAAAAUGACUGUACCCGAAUAAGAAGG
rnacentral:rRNA from 1 species